CAAACAAUAUGACAGAUUGAUGCCUAUAAUAAAGUCAGAUUCUAUAAAUCAGAUUCUGACAGAUUGCAGUACAGUAUAGUUAUUAAAAUAUCUGUGUUAUGGUUACAAUUUGCUGCACCUAUAAAGCCUGUUUAUAUUGGUCAUAACACACUACAUCCCUAUCUGUGAUGACAGAAGGGAGUUUGUGAUAUGGUGUGAUGACUUCUGCAUAACUCCUGCAUUCUUACUGAUUAUUUAUUCCCUGAUUGUUUUAUAAGUGUCCUCCUGACAUGUAAAAACUGUGAAUGAGCCAGCUUACUGAUUACUCAUUAGUGAAUUAGUAUCUGGUGACCAAAACAUUAAAAGUCUGACUGACAUUGAUUUAAUAUGCCUAUAAAUUAUCAUCUCCAGUGAUUAAACUAAGCACUAUCACAGCAGGGGAGUUUAAACUUGGCCACAGAGAGUGGAUUGUGGUUUGACUCAAUGUAUGGGACAUUGUGGCCAUAUAAAUAGGGAAUGAUUAGUCAAUUAUAGUCAUACUAAUUCUAUGCACAAAGGGAGUUGGAUUGAUGCCAAGGUAUCUAGAUGUCUGUGAUGAUGCCACCACACUGCAUUGUGAUGUCAUAGGCCCAACAUCAACAAGUCCUUUGGAGGUUGACUCUGAGGCCUCAUUAGCUCUAGGCAGGGCCACCAGGAGGCAGUCUCUGUUUGUGGGGGAAAGAAGGGGAAGUUGAGGCUAGACGCCCAUCACAGUCUCUGCUCAGUCCAGUCACCAUUCAGCCACCAUGAUGGAGCUGACACCAGAUGGAGGAGCCUUAAAGAGGUCUCAGAUCACAUUACAAGCACCCGAGCCCGUCAUCGUAAACCACUUCUGUUCAUGUGCAGCUGGGAGAGCUUUGUGCAAUCAUCUGGUGGCUCUACUCUUCCAGACUGCACAUUACACCACAAUGGGGUUGAAGACCGUGCCACCACCAUUGCCUUGCACAGGGGUACUGCAGUCGUGGCACAGGCCAAGGACUCGAGGAUUCGACCAGAGCCCACUGAUGAAAUGGUUGUGAGGAAGCCAAGGACAUCAGGCAGGAGUGGCAUAAAAUCCACUCUUGACCAAGCAUUCCCUGUUUGAGGAGCAUGAGACCACAGCCUGCCAUUGCCAAGGUGCUGCAUGGAUUGGAAGAAAUUACUCUGGCUGACUCUAGAUUUGGUCCAGUGCCCCGCAGGUCAGUGCUGUCAUGUCAGUGUCCCCCUACUGUCAACAGAGAUUCUAAAGCA